rnacentral:tRNA from 1 species
GGGGGGAUAGCUCAGUGGUAGAGUGAGUGCUUAGCAUGCCCAAGGCCCUGGGUUCAAUCCCCAGUCCCUCUA